rfam:Biomphalaria glabrata isolate BB02 unplaced genomic scaffold LGTN_random_Scaffold5281, whole genome shotgun sequence.
UGCACGUUGCCUUAGAUCCACAUUCCUGGGUGUGUUAGUCUGGUGCACCUGAUCAUAUUGCUCUUGUGGUCAAGUCAUCCUUCACCCAAACAACUUUACUGGCUGUUCAUGGAAUGUGCUUGAGUCAUAAGCGUGCUACAGUAUUCUACCUCAGCUCUUAUGUUGUUAUACAGAGUGCUCAUUAAAACACUUUGUUAACAUCUGGCUGGGACAGU